GCCUCGGUAGUAUAGUGGUUAGGGCGCACCCGCCGUGAGGGUGAAACGCGAGUACAAUCUCCCGCCUGAGGUU